rnacentral:tRNA from 1 species
GGAGAGAUGGGUGAGUGGCUGAAACCAGUAGUUUGCUAAACUGCCGCACGGGUUAUUCUGUGUCGCGGGUUCGAAUCCCGCUCUCUCCGCAA